rnacentral:misc_RNA from 1 species
UUUCCGUAGGUGAACCUGCGGAAGGAUCAUUAACAAAUCUGAAUGCUGGUACAUUUCGGUGUACCAGCACAUUGACUCGGGCUCGGCUGCUGCAGCGAUGCAGUCAGUCGAGUCUUGAGACAUUUACGCUUGUUGUGUUUGACUGAGUUAGUUGUGACAAUAAUAAAGACAACUUUUAACAAUGGAUCUCUUGGCUCUU